rnacentral:rRNA from 1 species
UACAGAGGGUGCGAGCGUUAAUCGGAAUUACUGGGCGUAAAGCGUGCGUAGGCGGUUCGCUAAGUCGGUUGUGAAAUCCCUGGGCUUAACCUGGGAACUGCAGUCGAUACUGGUGGACUAGAGUACGGUAGAGGGUGGCGGAACUCCGGGUGUAGCGGUGAAAUGCGUAGAUAUCCGGAAGAACACCGAUGGCGAAGGCAACCACCUGGGCCUGUACUGACGGCUG